AGCGAACGCUGGCGGCAGGCCUAACACAUGCAAGUCGAACGGAUCCUUCGGGAUUAGUGGCGGACGGGCGAGUAACACGUGGGAACGUGCCCUUUGGUUCGGAACAACUCAGGGAAACUUGAGCUAAUACCGGAUGUGCCCUUCGGGGGAAAGAUUUAUCGCCAUUGGAGCGGCCCGCGUCUGAUUAGCUAGUUGGUGAGGUAAAGGCUCACCAAGGCGACGAUCAGUAGCUGGUCUGAGAGGAUGAUCAGCCACAUUGGGACUGAGACACGGCCCAAACUCCUACGGGAGGCAGCAGUGGGGAAUCUUGCGCAAUGGGCGAAAGCCUGACGCAGCCAUGCCGCGUGAAUGAUGAAGGUCUUAGGAUUGUAAAAUUCUUUCACCGGGGACGACAAUGACGGUACCCGGAGAAGAAGCCCCGGCUAACUUCGUGCCAGCAGCCGCCGUAAAAC
rnacentral:rRNA from 1 species